rnacentral:rRNA from 1 species
UACGUAGGGCGCAAGCGUUGUCCGGAAUUAUUGGGCGUAAAGCGCACGUAGGCGGCCUCGCAAGUCUGAUGUGAAAUCCCUCGGCUCAACCGAGGACGUGCAUCGGAAACUGCGGGGCUUGAGUACUGAAGAGGAUCGCGGAAUUCCCGGUGUAGAGGUGAAAUUCGUAGAUAUCGGGAGGAACACCAGUGGCGAAGGCGCUCAUCUGGCCCAAUACUGACGCUGAAGCGCGAAAGCUAGGGGAGCAAACGGG